AGGGUAAUCUUUAACCAAAUUCAAAUCCUUCCUAUAAUCUUUCUAGGGUUUCUGUGAUCUUCCGAUUCUCUUUUUCUGGGCAUUCAAGAUUUCAGAAUCCUUCACAAGCAAUUAUUUUUCCCUCUCUCCCAUUACUCUCACACAUAAAAGGUGUAUGCAAAAAUGGUGAGAGGAAAGACUCAGAUGAAGAGGAUAGAAAAUGCAGCCAGCAGGCAAGUAACUUUUUCGAAGAGAAGAAAUGGGCUCCUUAAGAAGGCCUUUGAGCUAUCAGUUCUCUGUGAUGCUGAAGUUGCACUCAUCAUUUUCUCUCCCAGAGGAAAGCUCUAUGAGUUCUCCAGCUGCAG
rnacentral:misc_RNA from 1 species